UCAACUGAAUAUAGAGAAUUAGUGUCGUUGUCCAUCUCUCUCCAACUGCUGCUGUCCCAUCUCAAACCACGGUAGACCCUAAAAGUUUAGUCUGGGAUCCACUGAUGUGUAAAAUGACAUGUAAAGUAGGGUUGGGUAAAUAUAUCAGGUGAUUUUUUGAGUGAUUUUUUCACUUUAUUUUGCUAAUUUAAAGUUCUGGUGAUAUGAAAAAAAUGAUUUUAACCCUUUAAGAUUGCCUCUUUUUGAAAACAAAAGUGUCUUAUCAUUAUAUCAGUGGCAUAAUAUGUCAAUAAUAUUGUUUACUGCAGUUUUUUCUGGGAGAAUAAAAGUAGUUAACAGAGCAAUGUGUAAAACCUCUCUAGUGACAUUCAAACUCUUUCUGAGCAUUAAAAGAAAAAGCAGUCUAUAUGUAAACAGUUUCUGUUCAAGUUCCCAAACGUUCUCAUGUCAUGUGUUAUGAUAUUUUAGAAUCUCUUCGUACGUUUUAUAUGUAAAAUCUCUUGUGCAACAUAGAUGCAGUGGAGUGAGUCGGGACUGUAGCUGAGCUGCAUGUGGAGGAUCUGAGCUGCGUCUUCCAUGCUGGGGUUAGUUUUAGGGCUUAUUUGAAGUACCUAGAGCUCCAGGCGCGUGUGUGUGUGAAUGACACUGAGGUUGAUGUUGUGAACCAGCGUUUCUGUCCACUCUCAAUUUGAAUUGCAAAUCAAGUUUCAGGAGUUACACACAACACACUCCUAUUUAACUUUUUUAAGCAAUUACAAAAAGAGAGCCGCAAUCCACGAAGUCCUCUGCACACACUAACAACAACUGCAGCAUAUUGUAGACAAUCUGACCCCUAAACUGCAGGCUGCACUGACCUCUGAGCUGACCUGUGAGCUGACCUCUGAGCUGACCUGGGAGCUGACCUGGGAGCUGCUAUCUCCUGCAGUAUCACAGCAGGCUGCUUCAUAUUCAACACUGGCCUAUAUCAGAGUGUAAUGAUUACAGUGUGGCUCCAGUACCUGGCCAGAUCCAGAAACGAGUCCGCGGUCUCCUUGUUGCUGGUGACGCUCUCCAGUCCCAGGCUGUUGGUGUUCAGGGCUCCCGCGCCCACGCCGGGUUUGAUGAUGAAGGCAAGGGCCACCCCGAUCCCGGAGGCGAUCAGCGUGGUCACCAGGAAGUAGGCGACCGCGAUGCCCCCCAGCUUGCCCAGGGAGCGCGUGUCCAGGCUGGCGGCGCCGGAUAUGAGGCUGCAGACCACCAGGGGCAGGAUGAUCAUCUUCAGCAUCCGGAGGAGCAUCUCUCCGGGGAAGGCGAAGUAGGUCAUCUGCGCCUUGGUCAGGUUCAUGUUGCGGACCAUCAUCCCGAGCCCGACGCCCACCAGCACCCCGGACACCGUGAGGAUGACCAGCAGGUUCUUCCUCAGAAACUCCAUCAGCCUCUCCCCGAAGCUCUUCUGCGCGCUCUUCUCCAGGAUCCGGUCCGUGGAGGCCGAGCUGGGCAUGGCGUGCCCGUUGAUCUCGCUCUUUUUCUCCAUCUUUUUCUCUCCAAAGAGCAGCGUGGGAAGCUGGGAGGCCGGUUUCAGGCAGACAGCGUGGGUUACAGAUGCACUCACACUCACGCACUCUGCUGCGUGAAGGCUGGUCCGGAGUGAAAAGGCUGAGCGCAGAGUGGAGGGAGAGCCAAUGGAGACGCAGCGACGACACUGGAACAUGCGCACAGAAGCCGGCACUUUAUACCAAGAGCAAAUGAUGCAAGAGCGGGGGAUAUUGCCAGGGUCUCUGGGAAUGUGGCACAUUCCCUGCCCUGAAUAUGAACAGGUUUAACCAGAUUAAUAAGAACAAGAUUAAAACUACUCCUGUAAAGAUUCAACAUAAUAAAAUGUAUAUUAUGUUUAAAAUGCAUGAGAAUGACAAAAGCUUCGCUCUCAUCCUGGUUAUCAUUACAAUAUCUGUACUUUUAAACACAUAAGAUCCAUUUUCUAGUCCAGAUUUAUCUAAUCUUUUGCUUUUCUUUGUCCUCAAACGCACCUCUAAACAUCCAGUGCAGAGGCUGUGUCCCUUCAGGGUCUAUUUAACAGAUUUCACUGGUCUUUAUGGAUCAAAAUCAGACUGCAAGGAAGAAAAAGAUUUUAGAAACAUCAAUUAAUCUCCUUAUUCAUCAAGUUUAAUUAGAUUCUUGCACUUUUACAUGUGGGGUGAGUUUUGGCCCCCAGUGAUCCAUCAGCUCCACAGGAUGAGGAUGAUGGAUGGAGAGCAGAGGGCUGUCAGCACCAUGGCCAGCGCCAUCUAGGGGGCGCUGUUGCUCACCGUUUCUUUUUCACUUCAUUUGAAUGGAAACAGCAGACAGAAUAAAAAUGUUUCAUGAAACAAUGAUUAUUUUAGAAAAGCAGAAAGUUAAAAUAAGGACUAAUAUCUUGCUCAUAAUGGCCAUUGGAUUUUUUAAACAUUUAUUCAUGUGACUCCUUGUUGCACCUCUGGGGGUGAACCACGAGAUGGCGCUAUAAUAAAGGUGUUUUACAUGUAUUUACACAGCAGACAGAGCAAAGCUAGAGUGGCACAUUAUGAAUAAUAGGAAGCAAUAAUUAAACUUAAUCUGACUGUAAUAAAUCUGUCCCUUUAUUUGUCAUUUUCUCCAUUAAUUUCACUGUGUUCCCUCUUUUUGUUUGAACUGUGCCGCAUAAAUACCAUAAAUCUUUCUUAUUAUUCUCACAUAUAUUAAACCAGAGUUGAACAAAUAAGCUUAAAUAUGAAUUAGGCCUAUUUUUGAAUGUUUUUUACUAUAAAAUAUGAAAUUUGAAUGAAUUGUUGGACUGUUUUGUUCCAUGUAUGAAUUGAUGAUUACAUGAUUAAAUACAAUUCAGUUUACAGGUGUUGGGGAUUACUGCUACAUUACUAGUUACAUUACUUUUCUGCUGUGGUUGACAGAACUUUACCGUAAUAAAUACGGUAGAACUUUUAUACUAUUACAGUAAAAGGAUAUUAAUACUGUUGAUUUUAAGAGUUUUAUUCCAUAUUUUACUGUAUAAAUAGUUUUAACCAUCAAAAGAAACAGUUUUGCCACAUGAAUGCUGUAUAAAAAACGUUUUGUCCUGAAAUAUGACGGUAAUUUUCUGCACAAUUUACUGUCCUUAUUAUAAGAAAGUACUUUCUUUCAUAUAAAUUCCUUUAAAGUGCUGUAUAAAUAAAGGUUUUGCCAUGAGAUAUGAUAAA